rnacentral:rRNA from 1 species
AUUGAACGCUGGCGGCAGGCCUAACACAUGCAAGUCGAACGAGUGGCGCACGGGUGAGUACUGUCUGGGCAUCUGCCUGAUGGAGGGGGAUGUCUACUGGAACCGGUAGCUAAUACCGCAUACCCUCGGAUGUGCCCAGAUGGGUUUAGCUAGUGGGUGGGGUAAAGGCUCACCUAGGCGACGCUCCCUAGCUGGUCUGAGAGGAUGAACGGCCACACGGGAACGGAGACACGGUCCAGACUCCUACGGGAGGCAGCAGUGGGGAAUAUUGCACAAUGGGCGCAAGCCUGAUGCAGCCAUGCCGCGUGUAUGAAGAAGGCCCUCGGGUUGUAAAGUACUUUCAGCGGGGAGGCGUUACCCGCAGAAGAAGCACCGGCUAACUCCGUGCCAGCAGCCGCGGUAAUUC